rnacentral:lncRNA from 1 species
AAAAUUGUAAAUAGUUCAACUACAAUAAAAAUUCAAUCAACUACAUCCAUCCAUUCAGUUUUGUUACUCUGACGACAUCGGUGCAUCGCUUCGUUGAGUAGAGGUCGCAAAGGCUACAGAGCCCAAUCAUGAACAUCUUCAAAUGAAAAGGGGUAAGAGCAUCACCGUGGAAGUGCGAGAAAAGCUUUCAGAGAUGAAC